UGUGGAUUUCGACAGGCUGUUUCCUGG
rnacentral:piRNA from 1 species